CCUACGGGAGGCAGCAGUGAGGAAUAUUGGUCAAUGGGCGCGAGCCUGAACCAGCCAAGUAGCGUGAAGGAUGACUGCCCUACGGGUUGUAAACUUCUUUUAUAAAGGAAUACAGUGAGGCACGUGUGCCUUUUUGUAUGUACUUUAUGAAUAAGGAUCGGCUAACUCCGUGCAAGCCGCCGCGGUAAGACGGAGGAUCCGAGCGUUAUCCGGAUUUAUUGGGGUUAAAGGGAGCGUAGAUGGGUUGUUAUGUCAGUUGUGAAAGUUUGCGGCUAAACCGUAAAAUUGCAAUUGAUACUGGCAGCCUUGAGUACAGUUGAGGUAGGCGGAAUGCGGGGUGUAGCGGUGAAAUGCUUAGAUAUCACGAAGAACUCCGAUUGCGAAGGCAGCCUACUAAACUGCCACUGACAUUGAUGCUCGAAAGUGUGGGUAUCAAACAGGAUUAGAUACCCCUGUAGUC
rnacentral:rRNA from 1 species